UGGGUCUCCUCCUCCCAGCCUCUACUGCAGAUUGUGAGUGCCUGAAGAGAGUUAAGACUGAAAACAGGAAUUGUCUCUCUGUUAAAGUUCUAAACUAUCUUCUUGCCGUCACCCUUCAAGGACCCCCAUUAGAAUCUUUCAACUUUAAGAAGGCAGUCAAGGCAUGGAAGGACAACAAACCUAGAAGACAGACCCACUUUUAAUGAUGUUAAUUAGAAAAAAAACUGAAAUAUACUCAUUUAAAUGGGACACACACAUACAUAUAAAUGUUGAUCACAUGUUGUGAACUUGUGUUUAUAUAUAAUUGUUUAUUUAUUUGAAUUGUUGGAAAUGGAAAAAGUAAAUAAUAAAAAUUAAGAAAAUGUUUAUCAAGUGAAAAGCUUUCA